GAAAAAUUGGGUCAAUAAGAUGUAAAGGGGCUAAAGUUGUUUGGGCCAAUUUAAGAAGAGUUAUUAUUGGUCAAAUGGGCUGGAAGGCAACAGUAGAAAUCAAGCUGAAUGUAGCAAUUCAAUCAACGUUGGUGUUGAUAAAAUUGGGUUGCUGUUGAUGUUAAUAAGAUUGGGUCGUUGCACAUGGAAAUGAACUUAAUGAAACACAUGAACUUAAUGGAAAUGAACUUAAUAAGAUUGGUGUAUUGAGUGGCUGGAUGAAAAGAAAUAGGGAGUUGCUGCCUCCACCACCACCAAACACUCUCUGCACCUCCC
rnacentral:lncRNA from 1 species